GGGAAGACGAGCCGCAUCAGUUUUCUUUGCAGAGCUGACACGAAACUUCACAUCCUGAGUCCACCUAGCUGAGAUCCCUCCUCUCAUACUCCUGCAUCAUGCCAUGUCAGUCUCCACUCGUGCUGCGAGUAGAAAACCAGUCCUGCACAUGCAACCCUCAGUCACCUCAUCCAGGGCAAGAAGCUCAGGAGUCAGACCCAUCGAGCCCACCGCGCAACCACAUUUCCCUCUGUCGCAGUGAUGGUGGUAAGCCUGUCCAGACUGUGGCUCAGCCAGGACCGCUGCAGGAGUCACAAACCAGUUCUGAGACCCACUGCCAACGUCUCGGACCUCAGCCCAAACCCAAAGCCCUGGCCCCGACUGUGAACGCAGCCCUGGAAGGGGAAGGAAACAGGGGAAAAGGUGUGGGGGUAGCUCAGGGAAAGAAGCAUCACUGUGGGGUGUGUGGGCAUCUGCUGCUGGCUGUUGUCCUGACUGUCUUCUCCCCGCUGAUCGCUGUGGGAGUGUGUGUGGCUGAUAUUGUGACAGGAGAGUGCUGCAGUGCGUGUGGGAAAGACAUGGACUCUGUGGAUGACCCAUAGACUUUAUAAAGAUAUAUCCUCAUAUAUACUCUGUGAGAUGUCCUGAUGUAAGUGAAGAACUAUGAAGAAUUUUGUGUAUAUUAGAGAAUGUGAACUUAAAGGACCAAACUAGUAGUUGUCCAUGUUGUCCAAAUUAUCAUUAUUAUUAUUAUUAUUACUGAUAUUACUUAUAGUUUUGAUUUCAUAUCAUAGGUUUUGGACUAAUUUCUUAGUUUUCACAUACUGUAUGAAAAUCUACUUGCAGGACUUUGGAAAUUUGCUUGAGAGGCAGUCCAUUGCAGUGUACAUCCUACUGCCUUUAUUUUAAGAUACAGACUUACAGUAUGUAAAACCUUGGGAAGAGCUGCGAUUGGGAAUAGGAACAAUAUUCAAAAUCUCUCCUUGUGGUGGAGGAGGUGGUCAAGGAACCUCCAACAUUCAAUUAUUAAUAGAGGGUGUCAUUUAUUAUUGCAGUGACCAGUUUUUUUUUAUUGGAAAAGGAAACCUUGGAGACAAACAGUGACACCAGCUGUCCAACAAACAGCUCGACUGUUUACAUAAAAACAAUCCAUUUGCUGUUAAGUCUGUGAGUGAUUUUUGUGGAAUACUAAAAUCAAACCUGUGGUUCCCUGGAACUUAAUCUAGGAAAAGCAUGCACUGGAUGCUUUUGUUGACAUGAUCAAUAAAUUAGUGGGAUAAACCCAACGCUAUUAUCCUGUCAGACAGUGUUACACCUGCACUUUAUGUAAAAUUGAAGGGAGAAAAAUAAAUUAUCCUCUCAGCAACUGUUCCUGUCUUCUAAAGAAUUCCUCUGGCAUCAUUCAUAUUAAUAUGCUUCACCUUGUCAUCUGUGUAGAGUGAAGAUAAAUUGCUCAGUGCUCCUAAGGAUAUAGGUUUUCAUGUAAUGUGCUCCACCUAGUGGCAUGAUAGUAAAGUGCUUGUGUUGAAGAUACAUUUACAUAACCUCCAGUUAACUGUAUACAUGCUAUGUAAUCCUGCUUCAGGCUACAACUGUUAGAUCAAGAUGAUGAAAUGCAGUCAUCUCACUACAAGUGCAAUUUUGAAAUACUUGUACUUCACUUGAGUAUUUCUAUUUUAAGGUAUUUGAAGAAAUACUAUACUUUUUACUGCACAGUUUUGACAGCUUUAAUUAUUAGUUACUUUUCAAAUUCAAAAUUUUCAAACCAGUAGUUCCCAACAAUUCUUCUUUGCACCUUUUCGCCCCCCAAAAACAGUGUCUAUUUGGAGCCCAUGCACGUUUCACAUGCCCAUGAGUUGUUUGUAGUUCCAUCAAAAUUGUUUUUCCCUCUAAACUUCUCAAGUUGUUUUUAUUAAAAUAAAUGUUUGAGGUCUAAAUAGGUCACACUCUCCAAUAUUUCACAAACAGGCAAGAUUAAUGAAAUGUCCAAAAUGUUAAUUCAUAUUUAUGUAGCACAUUAUCCCACUAAUAAUCUCACUUGGACUUAUUUUUUGACCCACUAGAGGGGGCAAGACCCCUUGGUGGUAAAACCACAGAAGUGUGCUGGUACUUAAAAACUAUCUCCACCUUGACCAUCUUCAACAGUUAAGUGCAAACAAUCUAAUAAUGUAAUAUAUAACACUUCAUCAGUCACAGGGGGCAUUUUUCUUCAUAAGGAGAACUUGUAGUGAAUGACUGGUGUUCCUGCUGCACUGGUACUUUUUCUUAAGUAAAGGAACGGAGUAUUUAAUCACUGAUCUCAUCAAAGAAGUGACAAAAAAAAAAAAAAAAAAAAAAUCAGUCUUCAUUGUGGAUCAAUGUUAAAGCCUGUUAUUCAUUGCAAACAUUUAUUACAUUUUUAUGAUGCAAACAACAGCAAGUCCCACCCUUGUUGGAACAGCUCAUCACGUAGUCAUGAGGGAAUGAAAGAGACACAAAGGGACGGGGACAGAAAAAGAGUGUAUUACGCGCAAUUCCAUUGUUUCUGUUAAAAAAAAACAUGACAAUCAGCUCUCAUUGUAAAUUUUGGCAUCUUCUUCCCUCCUGUUGUACUCUCUGGAAUAAUGGUCAUUAAAAAUCAAAAGAACAAGGCAUGCAUAAUAGUUUCUGGUAAUGCACAAAGAUCAAAGGAUACCACUUAUAAAUACAAAAUCCAUGUACGAUGUUGGUGUACAUUUCAUAUAUACAUGGUCCCUUUCUUAGAGGUGUCGUAGGCCUAUCUACCUGUUCCCACUAUGGGAUUGUGUCCUCUGUUAUCUACGCUUGGUCACUAGAUUCACCCUGUAAAAAGGUCUGCGCUGCAAAAUACAUCUGUAGGAUGAACUAUUAAUAUUGAUGACAACUACUAGAUGUUACAACCAUCUGUUUAUUCCUCCCUUCAUCUCUUACUGCAUGUUAUUAUCAAGCUAUUUAUUCAAAAGCUUCAUUUACUUAAAUAGUUUUCUUUGCAUCAACUGACCAUUGUGCUGUCUACACGAUUUCAUCAAACCUCACGGGGGUUAUAGCCAGUAUUAUUUUUCUAUUAAAAUUCUCCUCCCACUGCUUCACUACCACCCCAUGCUUCUCUUUAAAAAAGGGGAGCCCACAGUUUACUUAGAUCCAUUCAAUGCUUCUGUGCCCACAAGAAAGAAGUCUGGAACAAAAGUAUUUUAACUCCCAAGUAACCAAAAUAAAUGGAUCACUAAGAUAAAUGCACUGGUCCAUUUUAAUAAAUGGGUGAAACAGCCACAUGUCUAUAGUGAGGGCUGUAUACGUGGCCACACAGUUUAUUUAUUGAAAUCAUGUAGGAAAAAAAAAGAAAAGAAAAAAACUGGAGAAACCAAAACUCAGUGAUUAAAUAUAAUGUUGAAUGACUGUCUUUACUGUUAAAAAAAGUGUACUGCAAUGUAUACAACUAUGUUGCUCUCUGUCAUUGCUCAAAAUGGGAUGAAGAGGGGGAAGAGGCGCUGGGGAUUUUUUGAUACAUGUA